rnacentral:rRNA from 1 species
CGUAGGGUGCAAGCGUUGUCCGGAUUUAUUGGGCGUAAAGAGCCCGCAGGCGGCCUGUCAAGUUUCAGGUGAAAUCUCCCGGCUCAACUGGGAGGGGUCCUGGAAAACUGGCAGGCUUGAGGCAGGGAGAGGGAUGUGGAAUUCCCGGUGUAGUGGUGAAAUGCGUAGAUAUCGGGAGGAACACCAGUGGCGAAGGCGGCAUCCUGGCCCUGUCCUGACGCUCAGGGGCGAAAGCGUGGGGAGCAAACCGGAUU